ACUACGUGCCAGCAGCCGCGGUAAAACGUAGGUCACGAGCGUUGUCCGGAAUUACUGGGUGUAAAGGGAGCGCAGGCGGGUAUGCAAGUUGGGAGUGAAAUACAUGGGCUCAACCCAUGAACUGCUCUCAAAACUGUGUAUCUUGAGUAGUGCAGAGGUAGGCGGAAUUCCCGGUGUAGCGGUGGAAUGCGUAGAUAUCGGGAGGAACAUC
rnacentral:rRNA from 1 species